rnacentral:rRNA from 1 species
GUGCCAGCCGCCGCGGUAAUACGGAGGAUCCAAGCGUUAUCCGGAAUCAUUGGGUUUAAAGGGUCCGUAGGUGGAUUAGUAAGUCAGAGGUGAAAGCCUGCAGCUCAACUGUAGAACUGCCUUUGAUACUGCUAGUCUUGAGUCAUUAUGAAGUGGUUAGAAUGUGUAGUGUAGCGGUGAAAUGCAUAGAUAUUACACAGAAUACCGAUUGCGAAGGCAGAUCACUAAUAAUGUACUGACACUGAUGGACGAAAGCGUGGGGAGCGAACAGGAUUAGAUACCCCUGUAGUCCC